GUGGGGAAUAUUGGACAAUGGGCGAAAGCCUGAUCCAGCCAUGCCGCGUGUGUGAAGAAGGUCUUCGGAUUGUAAAGCACUUUAAGUUGGGAGGAAGGGUAGUAACCUAAUACGUUGCUACUUUGACGUUACCGACAGAAUAAGCACCGGCUAACUUCGUGCCAGCAGCCGCGGUAAUACGAAGGGUGCAAGCGUUAAUCGGAAUUACUGGGCGUAAAGCGCGCGUAGGUGGUUCAGUAAGUUGGAAGUGAAAUCCCCGGGCUCAACCUGGGAACGGCUUUCAAAACUGCAUGACUAGAGUACGGUAGAGGGUAGUGGAAUUUCCUGUGUAGCGGUGAAAUGCGUAGAUAUAGGAAGGAACACCAGUGGCGAAGGCGACUACCUGGACUGAUACUGACACUGAGGUGCGAAAGCGUGGGGAGCAAACAGGAUUAGAAACCCGAGUAGUCC
rnacentral:rRNA from 1 species